rnacentral:rRNA from 1 species
AGCAGUCGCCACGGUAAAACGAAGGGGGCUAGCGUUGCUCGGAAUCACUGGGCGUAAAGGGUGCGUAGGCGGGUCUUUAAGUCAGGGGUGAAAUCCUGGAGCUCAACUCCAGAACUGCCUUUGAUACUGAAGAUCUUGAGUUCGGGAGAGGUGAGUGGAACUGCGAGUGUAGAGGUGAAAUUCGUAGAUAUUCGCAAGAACACCAGUGGCGAAGGCGGCUCACUGGCCCGAUACUGACGCUGAGGCACGAAAGCGUGGGGAGCAAACAGGAUUAGAUACCCCCGUAGUCCCUGUCUCUUAUAA